rnacentral:misc_RNA from 1 species
GAUGAAGAACGUAGCGAAAUGCGAUAAGUAGUGUGAAUUGCAGAAUUCAGUGAAUCAUCGAAUCUUUGAACGCACAUUGCGCCCCUCGGUAUUCCGUGGGGCAUGCCUGUUCGAGCGUCAUUUACCCCUCAAGCACUGCUUGGUGUUGGGCGUCUGUCCCGCUUCGCGCGCGGACUCGCCCCAAAGGUAUUGGCAGCGGUCGUGCCAGCUUCUCGCGCAGCACAUUGCGCUUCUCGAGGCGGUCGAUCGGCGUCCACGAAGCUCACCUCCACCGUUUGACCUCGGAUCAGGUAGGGAUACCCGCUGAACUUAAGCAUAUCAAGCGGAGGA